rnacentral:rRNA from 1 species
CAGUUCGGCCAUCCUACGGCGGAAACUCCUUAACUCGUUCCGAAAGAAGAGAAGUGCCGUCAGGCCCCGCCAGUACUGCGAUCGGAGACGUCGUGGGAACACGGGGUGCCGAACUUU